CCUACGGUGUGCAGCAGUGGGGAAUAUUGGGCAAUGGGCGCAAGCCUGACCCAGCAACGCCGCGUGAAGGAAGAAGGCUUUCGGGUUGUAAACUUCUUUUAAGAGGGAAGAGCAGAAGACGGUACCUCUUGAAUAAGCCACGGCAAACUAGGUGCCAGCAGCCGCGGUAAUACGUAGGUGGCAAGCGUUGUCCGGAUGUACUGGGUGGAAAGGGCGUGUAGCCGGGCUGACAAGUCAGAUGUGAAAUCCCGUGGCUCAACCACGGAACUGCAUUUGAAACUGUGGGGCUAGAGUGUCGGAGAGGCAGGCGGAAUUCCUGGUGUAGCGGUGAAAUGCGUAGAUAUUAGGAGGAACACCAGUGGCGAAGGCGGCCUGCUGGACGACAACUGACGGUGAGGCGCGAAAGCGUGGGGAGCAAACAGGAUUAGAUACCCCUGUAGUC
rnacentral:rRNA from 1 species